UCGCUGGGUAGCUAUGUGCGGACGGGAUAAGUGCUGAAAGCAUCUAAGCAUGAAGCCCCCCUCAAGAUGAGAUUUCCCAUUCCUAUAAGGAAGUAAGAUCCCUGAAAGAUGAUCAGGUUGAUAGGUCUGAGGUGGAAGUGUGGCGACACAUGGAGCUGACAGAUACUAAUCGAUCGAGGACUUAACCUAA
rnacentral:rRNA from 1 species